rnacentral:rRNA from 1 species
GAUGAACGCUGGCGGCGUGCUCAUACAUGCAAGUCGAGCGAACAGACGAGGAGCUUGCUCCUCUGACGUUAGCGGCGGACGGGUGAGUAACACGUGGAUAACCUACCUAUAAGACUGGGAUAACUUCGGGAAACCGGAGCUAAUACCGGAUAAUAUAUUGAACCGCAUGGUUCAAUAGUGAAAGACGGUUUUGCUGUCACUUAUAGAUGGAUCCGCGCCGCAUUAGCUAGUUGGUAAGGUAACGGCUUACCAAGGCAACGAUGCGUAGCCGACCUGAGAGGGUGAUCGGCCACACUGGAACUGAGACACGGUCCAGACUCCUACGGGAGGCAGCAGUAGGGAAUCUUCCGCAAUGGGCGAAAGCCUGACGGAGCAACGCCGCGUGAGUGAUGAAGGUCUUCGGAUCGUAAAACUCUGUUAUUAGGGAAGAACAAAUGUGUAAGUAACUAUGCACGUCUUGACGGUACCUAAUCAGAAAGCCACGGCUAACUACGUG